CUGGAUCCGAUUUGGCUCGCAAACUUGAGGGAAGGACACUUGAAGAAGCUUCGUCGCCUGCCCCUGAAAUACAAUGCAGAGGAUCGAGUUCUUGCGGACCAGUUCAUCAAGGUGGUCCAGUUCUGUGUGAAGAACCAUGUCUGGGCAGGUAGCGACUUUUCAAAGAGGAAUUGAAGAUCUCAAGUUCAAUGAAGACCAUGCACUGAUCAAGGGGGAGUUUGUUAAUGCACUUUUGGGUGAUAAGUGCAAGGCUUCCAACAUCAAGGGUCUUUAUUGAACAUUGUCCAAAGUUUAGAAAGAGUUUAUUUGAAGAGCUUCUAGAAGUUUCUAGAAGGUUUUCUAGAAAGAGUUUAUUGGAAUAGUUUCUAGAAGGUUUAUAGAAAGAGUUUAUUUAGACAGAGUUUAUUUAGUCUAGUUCUCUUGUCUGAGUUUGUUUAGUCUUGGUUUGUCUGAGUUUUGUAGCAAGGCUUUGUGCCUUAUGUUUUGUUCGGACUUUCUAUUUGGUGUGGAAAGUCUGAGAUUCACCUUGUAUAUAUACUUUAAUAUGGAAUAGACAAGGUAACGAUUCUGUGUGAAUUUCUGUGCCCUAAUCAUU
rnacentral:lncRNA from 1 species